rnacentral:rRNA from 1 species
UACAGAGGGUGCAAACGUUGCUCGGAAUUAUUGGGCGUAAAGCGCACGUAGGCGGUCCUGUAAGUCAGGAGUGAAAGCCCUCGGCUUAACCGGGGAAGUGCUUUUGAAACUGCAAGACUUGAAUACUGGAGAGGAUCGCGGAAUUCGCGGUGUAGAGGUGAAAUUCGUAGAUAUCGGGAGGAACACCAGUGGCGAAGGCGGCGAUCUGGACAGAUAUUGACGCUGAGGUGCGAAAGCGUGGGGAGCAAACAGG